GAAUUCGCCCUUAGAGUUUGAUCCUGGCUCAGAUUGAACGCUGGCGGCAGGCCUAACACAUGCAAGUCGAACGGUAACAGGAAGAAGCUUGCUUCUUUGCUGACGAGUGGCGGACGGGUGAGUAAUGUCUGGGAAACUGCCUGAUGGAGGGGGAUAACUACUGGAAACGGUAGCUAAUACCGCAUAACGUCGCAAGACCAAAGAGGGGGACCUUCGGGCCUCUUGCCAUCGGAUGUGCCCAGAUGGGAUUAGCUAGUAGGUGGGGUAACGGCUCACCAAGGCGACGAUGCGUAGCCGACCUGAGAGGGUGAUCGGCCACAUUGGAACUGAGACACGGUCCAGACUCCUACGGGAGGCAGCAGUGGGGAAUAUUGCACAAUGGGGGAAACCCUGAUGCAGCAACGCCGCGUGAGUGAUGAAUGUCUUCGGAUUGUAAAGCUCUGUCUUUAGGGACGAUAAUGACGGUACCUAAGGAGGAAGCCACGGCUAACUACGUGCCAGCAGCCGCGGUAAUACGUAGGUGGCAAGCGUUAUCCGGAUUUACUGGGCGUAAAGGGAGCGUAGGCGGAUAUUUAAGUGGGAUGUGAAAUACCCGAGCUUAACUUGGGAGCUGCAUUCCAAACUGGAUAUCUAGAGUGCAGGAGAGGAGAAUGGAAUUCCUAGUGUAGCGGUGAAAUGCGUAGAGAUUAGGAAGAACACCAGUGGCGAAGGCGAUUCUCUGGACUGUAACUGACGCUGAGGCUCGAAAGCGUGGGGAGCAAACAGGAUUAGAUACCCUGGUAGUCCACGCCGUAAACGAUGGAUACUAGGUGUAGGGGCCCCAAGCCUCUGUGCCGCCGCUAACGCAUUAAGUAUUCCGCCUGGGGAGUACGGUCGCAAGAUUAAAACUCAAAGGAAUUGACGGGGACCCGCACAAGCAGCGGAGCAUGUGGUUUAAUUCGAAGCAACGCGAAGAACCUUACCUAGACUUGACAUGUCCUGAAUUACCAGUAAUGUGGGAAGUUCCUUCGGGAACAGGAACACAGGUGGUGCAUGGUUGUCGUCAGCUCGUGUCGUGAGAUGUUGGGUUAAGUCCCGCAACGAGCGCAACCCUUAUUGUUAGUUGGUACCAUUAAGUUGACCACUCUAGCGAGACUGCUCGGGUUAACCGGGAUGAAGGUGGGGAUGACGUCAAAUCAUCAUGCCCCUUAUGUCUAGGGCUACACACGUGCUACAAUGGCAAGUACAAAGAGAAGCAAUACUGUGAAGUGGAGCAAAACUCAAAAACUUGUCUCAGUUCGGAUUGUAGGCUGAAACUCGCCUACAUGAAGCUGGAGUUGCUAGUAAUCGCGAAUCAGAAUGUCGCGGUGAAUACGAUCCCGGGUCUUGCACACACCGCCCGUCA
rnacentral:rRNA from 1 species